GAUGAACGCUGGCGGCGUGCCUAAUACAUGCAAGUCGAGCGAACAGACGAGGAGCUUGCUCCUUUGACGUUAGCGGCGGACGGGUGAGUAACACGUGGGUAACCUACCUAUAAGACUGGGAUAACUUCGGGAAACCGGAGCUAAUACCGGAUAAUAUUUCGAACCGCAUGGUUCGAUAGUGAAAGAUGGCUUUGCUAUCACUUAUAGAUGGACCUGCGCCGUAUUAGCUAGUUGGUAAGGUAACGGCUUACCAAGGCAACGAUACGUAGCCGACCUGAGAGGGUGAUCGGCCACACUGGAACUGAGACACGGUCCAGACUCCUACGGGAGGCAGCAGUAGGGAAUCUUCCGCAAUGGGCGAAAGCCUGACGGAGCAACGCCGCGUGAGUGAUGAAGGUCUUCGGAUCGUAAUACUCUGUUAUUAGGGAAGAAUAAACGUGUAAGUAACUGUGCACGUCUUGACGGUACCUAAUCAGAAAGCCACGGCUAACUACGUG
rnacentral:rRNA from 1 species